CGAGCGAACAGAUGAGGAGCUUGCUCCUUUGACGUUAGCGGCGGACGGGUGAGUAACACGUGGGUAACCUACCUAUAAGACUGGAAUAACUCCGGGAAACCGGGGCUAAUGCCGGAUAACAUUUAGAACCGCAUGGUUCUAAAGUGAAAGAUGGUUUUGCUAUCACUUAUAGAUGGACCCGCGCCGUAUUAGCUAGUUGGUAAGGUAACGGCUUACCAAGGCAACGAUACGUAGCCGACCUGAGAGGGUGAUCGGCCACACUGGAACUGAGACACGGUCCAGACUCCUACGGGAGGCAGCAGUAGGGAAUCUUCCGCAAUGGGCGAAAGCCUGACGGAGCAACGCCGCGUGAGUGAUGAAGGUCUUCGGAUCGUAAAACUCUGUUAUUAGGGAAGAACAAAUGUGUAAGUAACUAUGCACGUCUUGACGGUACCUAAUCAGAAAGCCACGGCUAACUACGUGCCAGCAGCCGCGGUAAUACGUAGGUGGCAAGCGUUAUCCGGAAUUAUUGGGCGUAAAGCGCGCGUAGGCGGUUUCUUAAGUCUGAUGUGAAAGCCCACGGCUCAACCGUGGAGGGUCAUUGGAAACUGGGAAACUUGAGUGCAGAAGAGGAAAGUGGAAUUCCAUGUGUAGCGGUGAAAUGCGCAGAGAUAUGGAGGAACACCAGUGGCGAAGGCGACUUUCUGGUCUGUAACUGACGCUGAUGUGCGAAAGCGUGGGGAUCAAACAGGAUUAGAUACCCUGGUAGUCCACGCCGUAAACGAUGAGUGCUAAGUGUUAGGGGGUUUCCGCCCCUUAGUGCUGCAGCUAACGCAUUAAGCACUCCGCCUGGGGAGUACGACCGCAAGGUUGAAACUCAAAGGAAUUGACGGGGACCCGCACAAGCGGUGGAAGCAUGUGGUUUAAUUCGAAGCCACGCGAAGAACCUUACUACAUCUUGACAUCCUUUGACAACUCUAGAGAUAGAUCCUUCCCCUUCGGGGGACAAAGUGACAGGUGGUG
rnacentral:rRNA from 1 species